UACGAAGGGGGCUAGCGUUGCUCGGAAUGACUGGGCGUAAAGCGCGUGUAGGUGGUGGGUCAAGUCUGCUGUGAAAGCGCCUGGCUUAACCGGGCGAGGUCGGCGGAAACUGUCCGACUAGAGGACGGUAGAGGGGGGUGGAAUUCCGGGUGUAGCGGUGGAAUGCGUAGAGAUCCGGAAGAACACCGGUGGCGAAGGCGGUGAGCUGGGCAGUUGCUGACACUGAGGCGCGACAGCGUGGGGAGCAAACAGG
rnacentral:rRNA from 1 species